rnacentral:sRNA from 1 species
CCCAGGCCAGCCUACCGGCGACUAGGAUGCUUUCGCUUUCGCUCUCGCUUUCCAAUACUCGGGACUGGGGAAACCGGGAGAAUAGAAGCAGGCAAGGACCGCCGUGGGCAUGGGGUGUCCCCAGCGCAGCCAAUCGGCUUCCGAAGUAGGUGAGUUGCUGCCUGAAGAGAAAAGACAAACUCCAGUAUCUUUCAUUCCAUUGGCCAGACGCGCCAUUCCCCAAGUGAGUUCUGUUCUCCAACCAAAGUGCUGGAUUCCAAGGGACUGGAAGGGAAAGUCCCUAAAAAUCACGAGUUCAGGCGUCUGAGACUUGGUGGGAACGGACCUUCCUCUUAGGUUCUCUGCUGUUUAAAAAGUAUCCCUGUGCUUUGAAGAUACUGCUAUAAUUUGAAAAUUUGAAAUUAGUGUUUCAGCUGAACCAUCCGUUCAUCUUCAAGCCAUCAUGAGCUGUAAGAAGCAGAGGUCACGGAAGCACUCAGUCAAUGAAAAAUGUAAUACGAAAAUCGAGCAGUAUUUUUCUCCGGUAUGUCUGUAAAUUCUACUUAUGUAAUCU